rnacentral:lncRNA from 1 species
GCCCCGAACCCGCCGCGAGGAUGAAGCUCUGGGCAGCGCUGCUGCUGGCCGGGCUCGUGGGCAGCCUGGCCGCUGCCCUCCCCGUGGAGAAGGUGGAUUUUGAGGGGCUCCUGAAGGAGCUCGGCAAACUGCUGGACCCCGAUGAGGGACCCCAGGAGCUGGAGGAGCCCAAGGAGAAACCCCAGGAGCUGUUCUGGCUGCUGGACCCCGAUGAGGAACCCCAGGAACAACCCUUGGUAAGCGCCGCAGAGCCCGAGGAUCCUGAGGAGAGCCCAGAGGAGCCCAAGGAGAGCCUGGAGGAGUCUGAGGAUCCUGAGGAGUCAGAAGAUCCCACAGAGAGCCCUGAAGAGUCUGAGGAUCCUGAGGAAAGUCCUGAGGAGUCGGAAGAUCCCAAAGAGAGCCCUGAGGAGUCAGAAGAUCCCAAAGAGAGCCCUGAAGAGCCUGAGGAUCCUGAAGAGAGCCCUGAGGAAUCUGAGGAUCCUGAGGAAAGUCCUGAGGAGUCAGAAGAUCCCACAGAGAGCCCUGAGGAGUCUGAGGAUCCUGAGGAAAGUCCUGAGGAGUCAGAAGAUCCUGAAGAGAGCCCUGAGGAAUCCGAGGAUCCUGAAGCAAACCCAGAAGAGUCAGAAGACCCUGAAGAAAGCCUGGAGGAGUCAGAAGACCCCAAAGAGAACCCCGAGGAGUCCGAGGAUCCUGAAGAGAGCCCUGAGGAGUCGGAGAUCAGGUUGGAUCCGAAUGUCCUGGUGGAACUGGCAGACAAACUCAAAGAGGCGCAGGAAGGCAAGAGGAACGAGGGGGUCCUGUCUCUCGUGAUGGACGCGAUUAACUGGCUGGUGACCCAUCUGAGCAACCACAUCUUCGGGUGCGCACGGGGGCUCGGGCGGCCGCCCCGAGGUGAGCAGUGAGCGCCCUGAGCGCCCUCAGCACCCUGAGCACCCUGAGCGCCCUGAGCACCCUGAGCACCCUGAGCGCCCUGAGCGCCCUGAGCACCCUGAGCACCCUGAGCGCCCUCAGCACCCUGAGCGCCCUGAGCACCCUGAGCACCCUGAGCACCCUGAGCGCCCUCAGCACCCUGAGCGCCCUGAGCGCCCUGAGCGCCCUGAGCGCCCUGAGCGCUCUGAGCACCCUGAGCGCUCUGAGCACCCUGAGCACCCUGAGCACCCUGAGCGCCCUCAGCACCCUGAGCGCUCCCCCCAGGGCCGGGACACGGAUCCCGCUCCCCCCGCUGAGCUCCGGCUCGUCCCGCGGCUUUCCCCGCUCCACGCACCCCGCACAUCCCAAAUAAAGCCGGUCCCAAACGCUGCCCGUCGUGUCCU